rnacentral:rRNA from 1 species
CCUACGGGCGGCAGCAGUGAGGAAUAUUGGUCAAUGGGCGCGAGCCUGAACCAGCCAAGUAGCGUGAAGGAUGACUGACCUACGGGUUGUAAACUUCUUUUAUAAAGGAAUAAAGUGAGGCACGUGUGCCUUUUUGUAUGUACUUUAUGAAUAAGGAUCGGCUAACUCCGUGCCAGCAGCCGCGGUAAUACGGAGGAGCCGAGCGUUAUCCGGAUUUAUUGGGGUUAAAGGGUGCGUAGAUGGGUUUUUAAGUCAGUUGUGCCAGUUUGCGGCUCAACCGUAAAAUUGCAAUUGAUACUGGCGGUCUUGCGUACAUUUGCGGUAGUCGUAAUUCGUGUUGUAGCCGU